UAAAUAUUUCUAAAUAUAAUAUUUAUGUAUAUAUUUGAAAUAAUAUACCAUAUAUUUAAAAAUAAAUAUAUGCAUAAACAAAUAUAUUUUUUAUAUUAAUGUAUGUAUUUUCUUUGUCUCUGGCAGCCUAUUCUUGGAUUGCCUUAUCCUCGAUUAUAUGCAGUGCUGUCUUAGAUUUGAGCUAAAACAGGUUGUCUUAAAAGGCAACAUAUUUUGCUGCCUGUUAUUUGGGGCAACACUGCCAAAAGAUGCUGUUUAGGCGAACAGCUCACAAGGAUUGGAACAGCACUUAUAUUAACCUUAGUGUCCCAUGCUAACGAUAUUAUUAUCAUUUUUUAAAAUGUACUGUAUUAUCUUUUUAAGGAAUGAAUGGCAUUUACAGUACUAUAAUGGGCAAUACUGUAUGUCCUCCCCACCCACAGGUGAUGUUGGGGACAAUCUUAAGACAUGUCCCACCCUGAGCAUGUCCAUGUGGCUGGAGGUCAGGAAACAUUACAUAAUAUUUGUUUAGACCCUGGCUAUUGUUAUAGGAGAGAGGAGAGCUUCCCUUUCUGGAGGACUUGGAUAUAACAACAUUGAGUCACUCAACUCCUGUUGUGGAGUUUUUUGCUGUUCCACUCAGUCCAAAAUGCUGGAAUAACAAGAUAUAAAUUAAGCACGUUGCUGCUCUUUUACAUGUGUAUGUUAAUCAUUACAAAUUGGGGAUCAAAACACGCGGCAUAGCAUAACAAACAGAAAAGCGGUUUGGUGUAUACUUGCAAUCCAAGCUGUAAACACCUUGAUAAGUGUAUUAAAAAAAUGGCUAAAUUAUUAGAAGCAAAAUUAUGUGAUAAUGUGCUAAACUCCUAAUGAUUAUGUGUAAUAUGUUGUAACUAGGUGGUUGCAAAGAGUCCUUGAAUUAGCACAUUUUUUGGAAGCUUGUCCCAGUUUUGGCUCUGUUCACCUGCCUUUCUCCACAAGGGCCCCAGAAAUAUUUCUCAACUGUUGUCCUGGGUUUAUUAUCUCUGUCAGCACUGCAGCAGCAGACCCACAAAACCAGCAUCUCUCUCCAAAACAGAAACGACUGCUGAAGCAAAGCAUUCAGUGUUUCAACAUGAGCAUGACAAAGCUCUAGCCUGGAGUUGCCAGACAAGAUCUGUUUAAAGAACGAAAGCAUUCUGGCAUGUAUAUCCUCCAUGUACUGUACGUCGUGCUCCACAGCAGCUAAUGAUAUAAACCCUAAGGCCCAGUGAUGCAUAUGAAGCAUACAGAGGAAACUGCCGAGUGUUGAUCUCAUUUGAAUCACUGAAGCCACCGAGUUACAGGCUUCCUGCCGCGCUCUGAUUGGUGACACGAAAUGAGGCUUUGUGUUCAUUUCAUGAAGGUUGACCUAUGAA